UACGUAGGGGGCUAGCGUUGUCCGGAAUCAUUGGGCGUAAAGAGCGUGUAGGCGGUCCGGUAAGUCCGCUGUAAAAGUCAAAGGCUCAACCUUUGAAUGUCAGUGGAUACUGCCGGGCUAGAGUCCGGAAGAGGCGAGUGGAACUCCUGGUGUAGCGGUGGAAUGCGCAGAUAUCAGGAAGAACACCAACGGCGAAGGCAGCUCGCUAGGACGGUACUGACGCUGAGACGCGAAAGCGUGGGGAGCGAACAGG
rnacentral:rRNA from 1 species